AGUGAACGCUGGCGGUAGGCCUAACACAUGCAAGUCGAACGGCAGCACAGUAAGCGCUUGCUCUUACGGGUGGCGAGUGGCGGACGGGUGAGGAAUACAUCGGCAUCUACUUUUUCGUGGGGGAUAACGUAGGGAAACUUACGCUAAUACCGCAUACGACCUACGGGUGAAAGCAGGGGAUCUUCGGACCUUGCGCGAUUGAAUGAGCCGAUGUCGGAUUAGCUAGUUGGCGGGGUAAAGGCACACCAAGGCGACGAUCCGUAGCUGGUCUGAGAGGAUGAUCGGCCACACUGGAACUGAGACACGGUCCAGACUCCUACGGGAGGCAGCAGUGGGGAAUAUUGGACAAUGGGCGCAAGCCUGAUCCAGCCAUACCGCGUGAGUGAAGAAGGCCUUCGGGUUGUAAAGCCCUUUUGUUGGGAAAGAAAAGCAGCAGGUUAAUACCCCGCUGUUCUGACGGUACCCAAAGAAUAAGCACCGGCUAACUUCGUG
rnacentral:rRNA from 1 species